rnacentral:rRNA from 1 species
UUGAACGCUGGCGGCGUGCUUUACACAUGCAAGUCGAGCGGCAGCGCGACCUUCGGGUUGGCGGCGAGCGGCGAACGGGUGAGUAAUGUAUCGGAACGUACCCAGUCGUGGGGGAUAACUAUCCGAAAGGAUAGCUAAUACCGCAUACGUCCUGAGGGAGAAAGCGGGGGAUCGCAAGACCUCGCGCGAUUGGAGCGGCCGAUAUCGGAUUAGCUAGUUGGUGAGGUAAAGGCUCACCAAGGCGAUGAUCCGUAGCGGGUCUGAGAGGACGACCCGCCACACUGGAACUGAGACACGGUCCAGACUCCUACGGGAGGCAGCAGUGGGGAAUUUUGGACAAUGGGGGAAACCCUGAUCCAGCCAUUCCGCGUGAGUGAAGAAGGCCUUCGGGUUGUAAAGCUCUUUCAGCAGGAACGAAACGGUCGGCUUUAAUAAAGUCGGCUAAUGACGGUACCUGCAGAAGAAGCACCGGCUAACUACGU